GACGAACGCUGGCGGCGUGCCUAAUACAUGCAAGUUGAGCGCUGAAGGUUGGUACUUGUACCAACUGGAUGAGCAGCGAACGGGUGAGUAACGCGUGGGGAAUCUGCCUUUGAGCGGGGGACAACAUUUGGAAACGAAUGCUAAUACCGCAUAAAAACUUUAAACACAAGUUUUAAGUUUGAAAGAUGCAAUUGCAUCACUCAAAGAUGAUCCCGCGUUGUAUUAGCUAGUUGGUGAGGUAAAGGCUCACCAAGGCGAUGAUACAUAGCCGACCUGAGAGGGUGAUCGGCCACAUUGGGACUGAGACACGGCCCAAACUCCUACGGGAGGCAGCAGUAGGGAAUCUUCGGCAAUGGACGAAAGUCUGACCGAGCAACGCCGCGUGAGUGAAGAAGGUUUUCGGAUCGUAAAACUCUGUUGGUAGAGAAGAACGUUGGUGAGAGUGGAAAGCUCAACAAGUGACGGUAACUACACAGAAAGGGACGGCUAACUACGUG
rnacentral:rRNA from 1 species